rnacentral:rRNA from 1 species
UACGGGGGGAGCAAGCGUUGUUCGGAUUUACUGGGCGUAAAGGGCUCGUAGGCGGCCAACUAAGUCGGAUGUGAAAUCCCCAAGCUUAACUUGGGAACUGCAUCCGAUACUGGAUGGCUUGAAUCCGGGAGAGGGAUGCAGAAUUCCAGGUGUAGCGGUGAAAUGCGUAGAUAUCUGGAGGAAUACCGGUGGCGAAGGCGGCAUCCUGGACCGGCAUUGACGCUGAGGAGCGAAAGCAUGGGGAGCGAACAGG